GGUAGUUCAAUGGCAGAACAACGGUCUCCAAAACCGCAGAUGAGAGUUCGAAUCUUUCUC
rnacentral:tRNA from 1 species